CUCGGCUUUCUAUUGGUUGUGGGCUUUUAUAACGCUUCGCGUUUUAAAAUAGAAAAACACAAGGCGAGUGGUGUGUGUACGAGACAAGUCCCAUCAGACAACUACUGACUAAAACCGAAAGAGACAAUGGUGUGACUGCUGAUAAAAGCAAGCAUCUACGUGGUGAGGAAGAUCAGGGCUGCUAUUCGUGAGAGAGAGCAACAGGAAAAGCCCAUCAUCACACCAUGUAGUGCUAUUGCUGGAAAGAAAGAAGACGCCCCAGUUGCCGCUCUGAGCCUGGAACCUGAUGACAGUGCCGGAGCAGCAGCAGGCGUGGGGACGUCCUCAGAGAUGGCUGUGCAAAACUGUAAAUCCUCCUGACAUAAGGAUUAGGCUGGAAAUUGGGACCGUGGUCAGCUCAGUGGCAAAAUACAAUUUGUUCAAUUCAGGUUGAUAAUUUACUCUCAGGGAUGAUUUCUGGAUGUGUAUAGCUACAUCUGCAUAAAACAAACAAAAAAAUGCCAAAAAAUAGUCUGUAUUAUGGAAUACAGAGUAGAUUAUUCCAACUUUUCAAUGCCCACGUUGUAUCCAGUGACCAAUGUCCAGCCCAGGAUGACGCAUUAGGCCUUUUCACAGCCUACAUUUUGGCUCGCCAAGAUAACAGACCAUGCACUGGCACAUGUUGAAUGUAAUGCAGGCAUUUAUGUUUUUGGUCUGGUUAGUCAAAAUGUCCUCUGUGAAAAAGCCUGCAUUUAUGUGCUGCAGCGUUUGAAGGCUAACUCACCAACCUCUCUCCAGGGGCUGAGCGGGUCUGAUGUUUCUGCAGUUACAUCAACAACAAAAAACAAAAAAAAACCAGAAAAUUACCUUUGGAUCAAUAUUAAUGUGCUUGCAAUAUAUAUAUAAGGUUAUUGGGUCGCUGCUAUGAACAAAAAUGAACUCUUGUAUUUCUGGGGUCCAGCUAAUAUACCUUUCAGGAAAGACUCAGGUGUAUUUGACAGUAUUAAUGGUGGCUCUAUUCCUUUUAAGUGCCUGAGUGAACCAUGCCAAAAAGGAAGCGUGCACACUAGCCAGGAACAGCUAAUAGAGUGCACAGCUCAUUAAUGUUUGUUAUUAACUACACCUGUGAUUUUUCCCUGCUUUAAUGCCACAAAACUAUCUGCUCUAAGCAUGAAUAAUAUCAUAAUAUAAUAAGAACAUUGUAAGAGACUGAACACAUAAUUGGUUUAAGACAAAGAUGCUUUAAAUCUGCUAUGAAUGUUACAGCUAUGUUGCUCCUUGUUCUGCCAAAGGUCUUACAUCAAAGAUUACUGAAAUCCAGGCAUGUACUGGUUAUAAAACAUAUAUCCUAACGAA